GGAAUAAAUAAAUUGAAAUAUAAAUCCAAUCGAUUGUACGGAAUGAUUAUGUUUGUUGUUGCUGUUGUUCUUCUUCUUCUUCUUUUCCCACUUUUCCUACUUC
rnacentral:ribozyme from 14 species